UUUCACGCUGCCAAGAAAAGCCUCUAGCGAGGCGGGAGGUGCCUGUACCGCAAACCGACACAGGUAGGCGAGGAGAGAAUCCUAAGGUGAUCGAGAGAACUCUCGUUAAGGAACUCGGCAAAAUGACCCCGUAACUUCGGGAGAAGGGGUGCUCUGGUAGGGUGUUAAAGCCCGAGAGAGCCGCAGUGAAUAGGCCCAGGCGACUGUUUAGCAAAACACAGGUCUCUGCAAAACCGCAAGGUGAAGUAUAGGGGCUGACGCCUGCCCGGUGCUGGAAGGUUAAGAGGAGAGGUCAGCGCAAGCGAAGCUUCGAAUUGAAGCCCCAGUAAACGGCGGCCGUAACCAUAACGGUCCUAAGGUAGCGAAAUUCCUUGUCGGGUAAGUUCCGACCCGCACGAAAGGCGUAACGAUCUGGGCACUGUCUCAACGAGAGACUCGGUGAAAUUAUAAUACCUGUGAAGAUGCAGGUUACCCGCGACAGGACGGAAAGACCCCGUGGAGCUUUACUGUAACCUGAUAUUGAAUUCCGGUGCAGCCUGUACAGGAUAGGUAGGAGCCUUGGAUUCCGGAGCGCUAGCUUCGGAUGAGGCGUUGGUGGGAUACUACCCUGGCUGUAUUGGACUUCUAACCCAUGCCCCUUAUCGGGGCAGGAGACAGUGUCAGGCGGGCAGUUUGACUGGGGCGGUCGCCUCCUAAAGAGUAACGGAGGCGCCCAAAGGUUCCCUCAGAAUGGUCGGACAUCAUUCGUAGAGUGCAAAGGCAUAAGGGAGCUUGACUGCGAGACCUACAAGUCGAGCAGGGUCGAAAGACGGGCUUAGUGAUCCGGUGGUUCCGCAUGGAAGGGCCAUCGCUCAACGGAUAAAAGCUACCCCGGGGAUAACAGGCUUAUCUCCCCCAAGAGUCCACAUCGACGGGGAGGUUUGGCACCUCGAUGUCGGCUCAUCGCAUCCUGGGGCUGUAGUCGGUCCCAAGGGUUGGGCUGUUCGCCCAUUAAAGCGGUACGCGAGCUGGGUUCAGAACGUCGUGAGACAGUUCGGUCCCUAUCCGUCGCGGGCGCAGGAAAUUUGAGAGGAGCUGUCCUUAGUACGAGAGGACCGGGAUGGACAUACCUCUGGUGUACCAGUUGUCUUGCCAAAGGCAUCGCUGGGUAGCUAUGUAUGGACGGGAUAAAUGCUGAAAGCAUCUAAGCAUGAAGCCCCCCUCGAGAUGAGAUUUCCCAUUACGCAAGUAAGUAAGAUCCCUCAAAGAAGAUGAGGUUGAUAGGUCUGGGGUGGAAGCGCGGCGACGUGUGGAGCUGACGGAUACUAAUCCAUCGAGGACUUAACCUA
rnacentral:rRNA from 1 species